UUUAUGAAUACACAGUGUAGCUAGCUGUUUACCGUGUACUGAUAAGGGUUUAACGACGACACGUGUUGAUGAAAGUCUGUGUUUUCACAAGUUAACUGGAGCAGGAGUGAUUGGAUUAUAAUUAGUUAAAGAUUAUAAUUAGUCUAUGCAACGAAAUGGGAUAACAGCUUGUGACGGCAUGCAUGGGCUCUUUCAUCACUCUUCUCCCUUGAAGAAGACCGGGCGGUUAUUGAAUGGGCACAGGCGAAUCUUAGCCACCCUUACCACAGAUGAACACUUUGAGCACCAUGGAGUGGAUUGUUGGUAAUCUGUCCGAGUCUCACCCAAACCUGAGCAAAGUCGCUACAGUGGGACUGCUUCUACCAACCUCCACAGCUGAUUGUGAGAGAGCUUUCAGCAGUUGAAUGUGUAAAGACCACCCACCAUUCACCGAUGA
rnacentral:lncRNA from 1 species